AUACGUAGGUGGCGAGCGUUGUCCGGAAUUACUGGGCGUAAAGGGCGCGUAGGCGGUUCUUUAAGUUAGAUGUGAAAACCCGGGGCUUAACUCCGGGAGUGCAUUUAAAACUGAAGGGCUUGAGUGCAGGAGAGGUAAGUGGAAUUCCUAGUGUAGCGGUGAAAUGCGUAGAUAUUAGGAGGAACACCAGUGGCGAAGGCGACUUACUGGACUGUAACUGACGCUGAGGCGCGAAAGCGUGGGGAGCAAACAGGAUUAGAUACCCUGGUAGUCCACGCUGUAAACGAUGGAUACUAGGUGUGGGAGGUAUCGACCCCUUCCGUGCCGCAGUUAACGCAAUAAGUAUCCCGCCUGGGGAGUACGGCCGCAAGGUUGAA
rnacentral:rRNA from 1 species